GAUGAACGCUGGCGGCGUGCCUAAUACAUGCAAGUAGAACGCUGAAGGAGGAGCUUGCUCUUCUGGAUGAGUUGCGAACGGGUGAGUAACGCGUAGGUAACCUGCCUGGUAGCGGGGGAUAACUAUUGGAAACGAUAGCUAAUACCGCAUGACAACAGUUAUUGCAUGAUAACUGUUUAAAAGGGGCAACUGCUCCACUACCAGAUGGACCUGCGUUGUAUUAGCUAGUUGGUGAGGUAACGGCUCACCAAGGCGACGAUACAUAGCCGACCUGAGAGGGGGAUCGGCCACGCUGGGACUGUGACACUGCCCAGACCCCUACGCGGGGCAGCCGUAGGGAUUCUUCGGCAAUGGACGGAAGUCUGACCGGGCAACGCCGCGUGAGUGGAGAAGGUUUCCGGAUCGUAAAGCUCUGUUGUACGCGAAGAACGAGUGUGGGAGUGGAAAGUUCACACCGUGACGUUAUCUUACCAGAAAGCGACGGCUAACUACGUG
rnacentral:rRNA from 1 species